rnacentral:rRNA from 1 species
GGUUGCGAUCAUACCAGCACUAAUGCACCGGAUCCCAUCAGAACUCCGCAGUUAAGCGUGCUUCGGCGAGAGUAGUACUAGGAUGGGUGACCCCCUGGGAAGUCCUCGUGUUGCAACCCC